rnacentral:lncRNA from 1 species
UUUAAAACUAUCAUGCAUUCUAAAUUCUUCUUCCAAGUAUGAAUUAUUGAUUAAGAAUCCUCUACCUGUUUGCCUUAGAGACACAAGGGCCUCUGUUCCUGGUGCUACACACUUGGCUUGGAGUUCUAGUUCAAACCCGCCUGCCAUUAACUCACUUUAUGACUUCAGGAAGUUGCAGAGCCGGCAUCUUGCAAAUCAGUUUUUUAAAAAGUCACGCAAGUGUUUAUAAAAAGGCCCCGCACUCACCUUCCAGCAUAGCCUCUGUGCGCUCACACACACAGCCGUAACUCCAGCUAUCCCGGAGUGAAGGCUGUCGUGAGCGCAGCAACCCGUCCAGCAAACGGGACGGGAAAGACUUGUGCACUGCUCCAGAGACAGGGACCUUUGUCUCUGGUGCCCUGGGGAACGCUUCAGCGUUUCAGAAGUCGACAGGUUCUCCGGGGUUCCAAGAAAAGAUAAAAAUCAUGCUGAAGCCAAGAGAUGUCUUUCUCGUGAAUGAUAUUUUGAAACUCUGCUCAAAACAUAACUGUGACAUAAUAAAUUCUUAAAGACGACAUUAAAGCUAUCGUCUAAAAUGUGAAAGAAG